rnacentral:rRNA from 1 species
AGAGUUUGAUCCUGGCUCAGGACGAACGCUGGCGGCGUGCCUAAUACAUGCAAGUUGAACGCUUGAAUUUCACCGAAGCUUGCUUCACCGAAAUUCAAGAGUAGCGAACGGGUGAGUAACGCGUGGGUAACCUGCCUUAUAGCGGGGGAUAACUAUUGGAAACGAUAGCUAAUACCGCAUGACAAUGAUUGACACAUGUCAGUUAUUUGAAAGUAUCUUUUGGUACACUAUGAGAUGGACCCGCGUUGUAUUAGCUAGUUGGUAGUGUAAAGGACUACCAAGGCGAUGAUACAUAGCCGACCUGAGAGGGUGAUCGGCCACAUUGGGACUGAGACACGGCCCAAACUCCUACGGGAGGCAGCAGUAGGGAAUCUUCGGCAAUGGACGGAAGUCUGACCGAGCAACGCCGCGUGAGUGAAGAAGGUUUUCGGAUCGUAAAACUCUGUUGUUAGAGAAGAACGUUGAUUAGAGUGGAAAAUUAAUCAAGUGACGGUAUCUAACCAGAAAGGGACGGCUAACUACGUGCCAGCAGCCGCGGUAAUACGUA